rnacentral:rRNA from 1 species
ACGCUCGACACCUACGAGAGGCAGCAGUGGGGAAUAUUGCACAAUGGGGGAAACCCUGAUGCAGCGACGCCGCGUGAAGGAAGAAGUAUUUCGGUAUGUAAACUUCUAUCAGCAGGGAAGAAACUGACGGUACCUGACUAAGAAGCACCGGCUAAAUACGUGCCAGCAGCCGCGGUAAUCUGAGCGGGCUGGCAAGGC